UACGGGGGGGGCAAGCGUUGUUCGGAAUUACUGGGCGUAAAGGGCUCGUAGGUCGCCAACUAAGUCAGACGUGAAAUCCCUCAGCUUAACUGGGGAACUGCGUCUGAUACUGGAUGGCUCGAGUAUGGAAGAGGGUCGCAGAAUUCCCGGUGUAGAGGUGAAAUUCGUAGAUAUCGGGAGGAAUACCAGUGGCGAAGGCGGCGACCUGGGCCAAUACUGACGCUGAGGUGCGAAAGCGUGGGGAGCAAACAGG
rnacentral:rRNA from 1 species